AGAGCUGCACAUCUAGUAACCAUAUAUAUGGAUCACAAGAAUUUGGAGUAUUUCAUGACGGCUCGAGUUUUAAAUCGGCGUCAAGCUCGGUGGAAUAUGUCGCUAUCUAGAUUCGAUUUUGUUAUCACUUAUCGACUUGGAAGGCAGCAAGGACUAUCCGAUGCUUUAUCACGGAGAUCGUAUCUUGCACCAAAGGCUGGAGAAGCAGCGUUUGAUCAACAAUGUACAACGUUAUUGAAGCCAGAGAGAUUUCAACUUUGUGCUACUAUUGUAUCAUUUGAUGCUGACUUCCUAAACCAGGUACGUGCUAUGACCAUUUAAGAUUCAGUAGCCAUUGAUAUCAAGCAAUGUACCAAUGACGACAAGUUCAAGGUGGAGGGAGAUCUUUUAUACUUUGAAGAGGGAUUGUACAUUCCAAAAGGACUAGCACGACUCCGAGUUCUUCAAUCUCGCCAUGAUUUUCCAACUGCGGGACAUUUUGGAUUCAAUAAGACCUUGGAGCUUAUUUCCCAAGAUUUUUGGUGGCCCCAAAUGUGGAAGGAUGUGAAAGAUUUUGUUCUCUCUUGUGACAUCUGUUCAAGAUCUAAGAAUCCUCGACAUCGCCUUUAUGGACUUCUACAACCAUUGCCAAUUUCACGUCGACCAUGGUCUUCAAUUUCUAUGGACUUCAUCACGGACUUGCCAUCAUCAAACUCAUUUGACAGCAUCUUUGUCGUGGUAGAUCGGCUUACAAAGAUGGCACACUUUGUUCCUUGUAAGAAGACAUCGUCCAAUGAAGUCACAACAAGACUCUUUCUCAAUAAUGUGUAUCGAUAUCAUCGACUACCAGAUGAUAUCAUAUCAGAUCGAGGUACCCAGUUCGUGUCAAAGUUUUGGAGAUCUCUCUUUGGGAUAUUGAAGGUGGAUAUCAAGCUUUCUUCAGCUUUUCAUCCUCAAACUGAUGGCCAAACGGAACGGGUGAAACAAGUCUUGGAGCAGUACUUACGAUGCAGUAUCAACUAUCAGCAAGACGAUUGGACUGCAUAUCUACCGCUAGCCGAGUUUGCAUAUAACAACACCAUCAUGCGUCGACUCAACAAACACCAUUCUUUUCCAACUAUGGGUAUCAUCCGAAGCUUGAUUUAUUGAGUCCGUCAACAAAUAACAAUCUAGCAGCUGAAGGAUUUGCGAAGCAACUAUCAGAGCUUCAAACUAUGUUGAAGCUUCAAUUACAAUCCGAUCAAGAAUCCUAUAAGAUGUCUGCAGAUAGAUUUCGGAAUCCAGCACCUACUUUCAAAGUUGGAGACAAAGCCUGGCUUCUUCGACGAAAUAUCAAGACCAAGCGACCAUGUGAUAAGUUGGACUAUCAAAGAUUGGGACCAUUUAUCAUCCAAAAGUAAAUUAAUCCAGUGGCAUACCGGCUGGAGUUACCAGCUUCUAUGAAGGUACAUCCAGUCUUUCAUGUUUCUCUGUUGGAACCUUAUCGAGAGUCAUCUUUUCUUGGAAGAGUGCAAUGUCCGCCACCUAGUAUUGAAAUCGAGAACCACGAAGAAUACGAUGUUGAAAAGGUAUUGGAUUCACGGCAAAGAUGGAAAAAGUUAGAAUAUCUUGUUCAUUGGUGCGGCUAUGACAUUAAUGAGCGAACGUGGGAGCCAGCUGAAAAUCUUGCGAAUGCGCCACAAAAGGUACAGGAGUUUCAUCAAUGACAUCCCGAUAAACCUAAAUCAAUUAGAUGAUAGCUUCUUUCUGAAGCUUGUUCUCCCAACAAUAUAACAAAAGGGGAGAGCACCAGCAAAAUUCAUAGUUGAUGUAGUUAUUUUCUCCAAGAUAGAUCGUAGUUUGGUCUUUUGAUAUGGAUAGCCAAGAGAUAGAUACUAUGCUAGUCAGAGUAUCGCAAUCGAGUAGCUCACGAAGGCGAUCCCGAGAUGAAGAACUACAUGUACCACGACAACGACGGAGGAUACCGAGUAACCGAUCACUGGUGAUUAUAUUUGAGAUCGAGCCUGCUUACGAUGGUCAACCAGAAGGCGUGUUUGCAGGACAAUUUCACAAUGAGGACACGGAAGUUCAUGCUUGGUCAGAAGUCGAAGGCGUGGGCCACUACCGUUGGCUUCAAGGGUCGAUGAACCACUUGCCUCGUGAACAACAGUUGGAGUUCAUAGCAGAAGUUAUGCGACAGAUCUUCAUUUUCUUGCGUUGGUACUGAACAACAACAUUGCUUCUCAGAGACCUCGAAGCUAAAGGAGGGGGUGAUGUUAGGGACAUAUUGUCACGGACACAAAAUACAGACUUGAAAUCUAACAAGAAGUUCAAGAAGAAGUGGCAGAACUAGAUUAAACAGAUGAGUACAAGAACAACACCAGAAAGGUGAGCUAGAACUCCAAGAGAUGUGUUGUCGAGACUGAAGAACCCUUCAGCCUCGACUCCUAUAUAUACUACUGAAUAGGAAGCUUCUCGAGCUACUUCUGCUAACUAGGACGCUUCUCCAACAACUUCUACUAAUUAGGAAACUUCUCGAGCAACUUCCUAAAAUCUAUCAGAAUAUUCUAGAACCUUCUAAGAAUAUUCUAGAACCUUCUAAGAGAAUCUUUAGGGAAUAUUCUAAGAAUCUUUUAGAACCUUCUAAAGGAAUCUUUAGAGAAUCUUUAGAGAAUAUUCUAGAAGAAUAUUCGAAGAUUCUUCCAAUGUAUGUCCAUGACAUCACCUCCUCUUCUAACUUCGAGGUCUCCGAGAAGCAAUGUUGUUAUCAGUCAAUACCAACGCAAGAAAAUGAAAAUCUGUCGCAUCACAUCCGCUAUGAAUUCCAAUUGUUGUUCGCGAGGCAAAUGAUUCAUCGGCCCUUGGAGCCAACGGUAGUGACCAACACCUUCAACCUCUGACCAAGCGUGGACUUCUGUGUCUUCAUUGUGAAACUGUCCUCCAAACACACCUUCUGGCUGACCGUCGUAGACAGGCUCGACCUCAAAUACAAUUACUAGCGAUCUGUUGCUCGGUAUCCUCCGACGUCGUCGUGGUGCAGGCGGUUCUUCAUCUCGCGGUCGUCUUCGUGAGCUAGUCGCUUGAGAUGACAUAACAAGUGUAGUAUCUUUACUAUCCAUGUCCAAAGGCUAAAAUGAUGAGAGCAAACUAUAGUUGCUAACAAAAUUCUACACUAUCGAACUAUGGGUUUUGGAGGUGCCCUCCCCCCUUUUUAUGCUACUUGAUGAGCAAGCUUCAGCAAGAAGCUAUCGUUGAAUCGGCUUAGGUUUAUGAGGAUAUCGUUGAUGCAAUUCUUGUACCUUUUUUGGUACAUUGGCAAGAUUUUCGGCACGCUCCCACGUUCGUUCAUUCAUGUCGUAUCCACUCCAAUGCACUAAAUACUCCAAUUUUCUCCUAUUACGUCGUGAAUCUAGUACCUUUUCCACCUCGUAUUCCUCAUGGUUUUCAAUUUCGAUACUUGGUGGCAGACUUUGUACUCUUUGGGGAAAAGCUGACUCUCGAUAAGGUUCCAACAAAGACACGUGAAAGACUGGAUGUACCUUCAUAGUAGCUGGUAACUCCAGACGAUAUGCCACCGGAUUGAUCUGCUUCUCGAUAACAAAUGGCCCUAAUCUCCGAUAGUCCAAUUUGUCACAUGGCCGCUUGGUCUUGAUAUUCCGUCGAAGAAGCCAUACUUUACUUCCAACUUUAAAAGUAGGCGCCUCAUUUCGAUAUUUAUCUGCAGAUGCCUUGUAACUCUCUUGGGCAGAUUGCAAUUGAAGCUUCAACGUCGCUUGAAGCUCCGAUAGUUGCUUCACAAAUCCUUCAGCUGCUGGGUUGUUAUUUGCUGAAGAACUCAAUAAAUCGAGCUUGGGGUGGUAUCCGUAGUUGGAGAAGAAUGGUGUUUGUUGAGUUGACGCAUGAAGAGUGUUGUUGUAUGCGAACUCAGCAAGCGGUAGAUAUACAAUCCAAUCAUCUUGUUGAUAGUUGAUGCUGCAUCGUAAAUAUUGCUCCAAAACUUGAUUCACCCGCUCCGUUUGACCGUCAGUUUGAGGAUGAAAAGCCGAAGAGAGCUUAAUAUCCACCUUCAAUAUCUCAAAGAGGGACCUCCAAAACUUGGAUACAAACUGAGUACCUCGAUUCGACACGAUAUCAUCUGGUAGGCCAUGAUAACGAUAUAUGUUAUCAAGAAAGAGUCUUGCGGUGUCUUCACUUGACGAUGUUUUCUUGCAAGGCACGAAAUGCGCCAUCUUUGUAAAUCGAUCUACCACAACAAAGAUGCUGUCAAAUGAAUUCGAUGGCGGUAGGUCCGUAAUGAAGUCCAUAGAAACUGAAGACCAUGGUCGGUGCGGAAUAGGCAAUGGCUGGAGAAGUCCAUACGAACGAUGUCGAGGGAUCUUGGAUCUUGAACAAACAUCACAAGAAAGGACAAAUUCCUUCACAUCCUUCCACAUUUGGGGCCACCAAAAAUCUCGUGAAAUGAGCUCCAAAGUCUUGUUGAAUCCAAAAUGUCUCGCAGCUGGAAAGUCGUGGCGAGAUUGAAGUACUCGGAGUCGAGUUGGUCCUUUCGGGAUAUACAACCGCUCCUCAAAAUACAGAAGAUCUCCUUCUACCUUAAACUUGUCAUUAUCGACACGUUGUUUGAUGUCAAGAGCUAUAGAAUCCUCAAUGGUCGCAGUACGUACUUCGCUGAGGAAGCCGUCAUCGAUAGUUGCAACAGUAGCAAAAAUCCUGAAUUUUUCUGGUUUCAACAAUGUUGUACAUUGUUGAUCAAAUGCUGCUUCUCCAGCCUUUGGCGCAAGAUACGAUCUCCUGGAUAAUGCGUCAGAUAAUCCUUGCUGUUUUCCAGGGCGGUAGGUGAUAAUAAAGUCAAAUCGUGAUAGAGACAUAUUCCAUCGAGCUUGACGACGAUUCAAAAUUCGAGCUAUCAUGAAGUACUCCAAAUUCUUGUGGUCCGUAUAAACAGUCACUGGAUGUGCAGCUCCUUCGAGGAAGUGACGCCACUCUUGGAAGGCAUCCACUAUAGCAAGCAGCUCUUUGUCGUGGAUCUCGUAGUUGAUCUCAGCAGCAGAGAACUUCCGUGAAUAGAACGCAACUGGGUGAAGCUUCUUGUCUAUGCCCAUCUGUGAAAGCACAGCUCCCAAAGCAAAAUCUGAAGCAUCGGUCUCUAAAUAGAAAGCCUUUGCAAAGUCAGGGUGUACCAAGAUUGGAGCCGUAGUGAAUGCCGUCUUAAGAUCUUGAAAUGCUUUUGCUGCUUGUGAUCCCCAUUCGAGCUUGUCUUUGCUUGUUAGACGCGUGAGUGGUGCAGCAACUUGAGAAUAAUUCUUGAUGAAGAUCCGAUAGAAGUUAGCAAAUCCAAGAAAACACUGAACAUCUCUAACCGUCUUCGGAACUUCCCAAGAUAUAAUUGCUUCUACCUUUUUGGAUCCAUCUUCAAGCCCUCUGUAGUCGCAAUGAAGCCCAAAAAUUCCAUCUCAUUCUGGUGAAAUUGACACUUCUCCAACUUGGCGUAGAGUCCUCGUUUGCAUAGUAUUUCAAGAACCAAACAAACGUGCUUCUCAUGUUCUUCUUCAUUCUUGGAAAAUAUCAAAAUAUCAUCCAGAUAGAUAACAACAAAGUCAUCGAGGUACUCCCGAAAGAUGUCGUUCAUCAUAUGCUGAAAGACCGCUGGAGCAUUGGUAAGACCAAAAGGCAUGACAUUGUACUCAAAAGGCAUGACAUUGUACUCAAAAUGGCCAUACCUUGUACGAAAGGCUGUCUUCCAUUCAUCUCCUUCUUUGAUUCGCACAAGGUUGUAGGCUCCUCUUAAAUCAAUCUUUGUAAAAAUCCUUGCACGUCCAAGUUGAUCUAAGAGGCCGGAGAUCAAAGGUAAGGGAUAGCGAUUUUUCUUGGUCACCUUGUUGAGUCCUCGGUAGUCCACGCACAUCCGCAGUGAGCCAUCCUUUUUCUUCACGAAUAGGAUUGGUGCUCCAGCUGGUGACUUUGAAUGUCGAAUAAAAUUCUUGGCUAGAUUCUCAUCGAUGUACUUCCGUAAUUCUGCCAACUCCAUCUGCGAUAGGUUGUAUAUUGGACCAAAAGGUGGUUGCGCUCCUUCCUCUAAGUCUAUGGCGCAAUCAUAUGGUCGAUGUUCCGGCAGUAUAUCGGCGUUCUUCUUCUGAAACACGUCUUCAAAAUCCCUAUAUUGCUCUGGUAUAUUUGAUGUUGACAUAUUCUCGCCGCUAGUUGGAGCUGCAUAAAUGACAAAUGGUGCGCCUUCCUUGGACAAUCUUAGGAACGCUCUCGCUCCAAUAAACAUGGAUUUCUUCAUGUAGGUUCUACCAACAGGUUUAUUAUUAUUUUUUUCAGGAAAUGUUAUCCUUCGUAGCCUCCAAUCAAUGGACGGAUUAUGAUCUUCUAACCAAGAAAGACCAAGGAUAACAGGGCUUGAUGGGGUUCUAAUAAUAUUAAAAAUAACGUGACUACUAUGGUCCUUAAACACCACUUCUAUAGGUUCUGAUUCGUGGGUAACGUUGCCUGACAAUAAGGGUCGUCCAUCUAUCACCUCUACGUGAACAGGUUUGGACUUCUGUACUAAACGGAUCUUGUGGCGUUUAGCAAACUCUUCAUCUAAAAAACAAGUAGAUGCCUCCGAAUCCAAUAAAGCUAAAGUUUUUUGUUUUUGAGGGCCUAAAAACAAAGGAAUUGUAAAACAACAUGCAGGUUGGACAGAGAAGGAGGAACCUGAUUGUUGUCGUGAUAUUAGAUUGUCCAGCCGCACGGUUCCUACUGUUGCUGGGCGUCGUCGUUUUCCGAAAUCAUCGCACUUCUAGUCUUGACAGGGUGCCAAUUUUGCUUCUUUGGACAAUUUCCAACCUUGUGAUCUUCUUCUCCACAGUACAAACAUAACCCUUCCUCCAUACGCCGUUUCUUCUCUGUUGGAGUAAGAGAUCAGACACGCGCCGUGUCGAUUUGCAUGUCUGUUGCCUCCGAAUGUGAGUUUAAGCUAUUUGCAGACAUAGUCACGUAGUAACGAGUCAUUUGGUAUCUUGGACAUUGGUCUUGGCGACGCUGGAAUAGGCGGUUGUCACACUUUACAGCUUGGCUAAUAGCUUCGUUGAGCGUUUGAGGAUCAGGAAGAGAUAACAGCAAGUCCUUCACAUCAUCCUUCAAGCCCCAAUAAAACUCACUCACCAACGCCUCUUCACCCCAAUUAAUGUCACUUGCCAAUUGUCUGAAAUCCGAGGCAUAGACUGAUGCAGAGCGUGUUCCUUGUCGUAGUGAUCGGAUCUUUGUUGUAGCCCAUCGAACUUUAUCAUGCUCGCCAAAUGCUUCUGCAAACGCCUCCAAGAACGUUUCAAAGUUGCUCAGGAUUGGCGAUCGCUUCUCGAACAAGGGAGUAAACCAAGACAGAGCUUGUGCUGUAAGCAAGGUUCCAACAAGCCCAACACGCGCUUCCUCCGUCGGAUAACGUUCGGGCUGUAAAAUUGUUAUCAACCUGAUUUGGUUGACAAAACCUCGAAACUUGGAACGAGUUCCAUCAAACUUAUCCGGAAGACUAACUCGAGGCUCCUUUUGUUGUAGGACUACUCGAUCUUGUUGAAAUGGAGGUAGAACUGCUUCUUCUGGCGCAGAAGUUUGAGGUUGAUAUGCUUUAGAUGGCGCUAUCUCAGAUGCUCCAUUGUUAUGGAGUCCUACCAUGACUCCUUCGAUCUCUGUUGUCCUAUGUGACAACGAGGCAAGAGCAUUUAUGAUGGCUUCUAGUUUGGAUUCCAAACUUUCGGCCAUUUUAACGUCUUAACCUUCGGCUAACCUUCAGAAAGAAGAAAAAAGAGUUUUGACAAGAGGACAAUAUUGGUUUAGAGGAGAGUACUCCGCAACCUCUAAAACGCCUUAAGACUCCAAGAUGAGGGGUAAUCCACUCUCUCCAAGAAGAAUAAGGCUCCAAUAUUGAGAAAGAAGAGAUAUCAGUUUAGAAGAGGGUAAUCCGCAACCUCUAAAACACUAGCACACCUUCAAGAAGAGGGGUAAUCCACUCUCUAACAAGAAGGAACUAGCUCUGAUACCAGUGAAAAUGUAGUCUCGACAAACUGUCACGGACACAAAAUACAGACUUGAAAUCUAACAAGAAGUUCAAGAAGAAGUGGCAGAACUAGAUUAAACAGAUGAGUACAAGAACAACACCAGAAAGGUGAGCUAGAACUCCAAGAGAUGUGUUGUCGAGACUGAAGAACCCUUCAGCCUCGACUCCUAUAUAUACUACUGAAUAGGAAGCUUCUCGAGCUACUUUCGCUAACUAGGACGCUUCUCCAACAACUUCUACUAAUUAGGAAACUUCUCGAGCAACUUUCUAGAAUCUAUCAGAAUAUUCUAGAACCUUCUAAGAAUAUUCUAGAACCUUCUAAGAGAAUCUUUAGGGAAUAUUCUAAGAAUCUUCUAGAACCUUCUAGAGGAAUCUUUAGAGAAUCUUUAGAGAAUAUUCUAGAAGAAUAUUCGAAGAAUCUUCCAAUGUAUGUCCAUGACACAUAUUCCUUAGAACUUUCUAGAGAGAAGUUUCUAUAACUUUCUAGAAAAUAAGCCUCUGGAACCUUCUAGAAGAGAAGUCUCUGGAACUUUUUAGAGAGAAGUUUCUAGAAGCUUCUAGAAAGGAAGUCUCUGGAACCUUCUAGAAGAGAAGUUUCUAGAAGCUUCUAGAAAAGAAUCCCCUGGAACUUUCUAGAAGCUUCCUAGUUAAUAGAAGUAGCUCGAGAAGCUUCCUAAGGAGGAGUAUAUAUAGGGAUCGAGGCUGAAGAGUUCUUCAGUCUCGACAACACAUCUCUUGGAGUUCUAGCUCACCUUUCUGGUGUUGUUCUUGUACUCAUCUGUUUAAUCUAGUUCUGCCACUUCUUCUUGAACUUCUUGUUAGAUUUCAAGUUUGUAUUUUGUGUCCAUGACACAGUGUCAUAUUGUAGUUUGGCUACCAUGUGAAAAUAAUGUGAUUAUGUAUUUAAUGUAUAAUUUACUUAACAACAUGAUGAGAGCCAUGUUACUGGAUUUUAGUUGGUUGUAGAAUGUGAUUAAAUUACUACUUUAAAAGGAGGUUAUUUAAAAGGAUUAUUAUUAAAAUCUAUAUAACUAUAAUUUCUUUUCAUAUUGGCUUUUAAGAUUGAGUUUGGUUGAUAGUAACUUCUAAAUAUUUAGAAUCACUUUUGUUAGACAUUGGUAAUCUUUGAAAAUUUAUUUUGGUUCUUUUAUUUGGUGUUUGGAGCAUAAAUUAUAUAAAUCUUAUAAGAAAAAGGGUUGAAGAAGGGUUUUAGUAGCAAAGGGAGUAAUUAGGGCACCAAUAUAGAUGAAUGGAGAUAGAUGAUGAAAAUCUCUAUUCCUAUUGGUCAAAAAUCAUGACCAAUAAGCUUUGAAGAGGCUGCCUGAGGCCAUAUUAGAGAUUAGGGUUAGUUUUUUGGAGCCAUUUGAGCUUUGAAGACUAUGAUCAGUAAAUUUAGGUUUUUGGCAAUGGUUUUGGUGCAAAUCUUGUAUGAUUUGGAGUUUAAAUGAAGGAAAUAUAGGUGCUCAAAGUUAAGGUGUUGAUUUGAGAGCUACUGUCACUCUUUUCAAUAUAACACAAGCAUAUGGAAGGCAAUUGAGGAUCGGCAAUUGCAACUAAAGAGAGCACUUUUGCGGUUAUAUUUUUUAUAUGCUAGUUACUGGAUUCCAAGUUAAGAUGAAGGAGAUAUUGAAUUUUGAAGUCAAUGCAUGAAAUCUAAGGAUAGUAAGUGACCUGAUUUACUAGUAGUUUUAUCUUGAGCUAUAUCUUGAGCAAUUUGAUAAAGUUUUGGCUCAAAUUUUCAGAAAAUGUGUAUAUUCAUGUUAAUAAACUUUAUACAUAAGUUUAAUGGCAUUUGAAUAUUGGAUUUUUCAGAUAUUAAGAAAAUAGUACUCAGAUGCUUGCAAUUUAAGGUUAGAGUAUCUGCUAGGAUUUCUUAGAUGUCAAAAGAUCGGAAGUGAAUUUGUGGUUGGAUUUUUUUUUGUAGUAAAACUUAAGGAUAAAUUCUACCUACUUUAUAAAUUUGAAAUAAAUUGAAUGGUUAGAUCAAGAAUUAUGAAUUUUUAAAGUUCAAGAAGAAAAAACCCUUCACGGAAAAAAUAUGUUUUGAAGGGAUUUUGCUAUAUUUUGAAUUUUAUGCAAAUUAAAGAAGUUUUGAAAGCUAAGACAAGAUACAUAUAAAAGUUUAAGCUAAAUUCUCUAUAGCUAGAUAUCUAGUGUAUUCCUAGAUAGCAAAUCAUGUGAUACGACAAUGGAUCUUUGAAUCUCAAGUUCUUAUAAAUCUAUAUUCGUGAUAGUAGAUUAUUUUACUAAGAUGGCACAUUUUGUAUUAUGUACAAAAUCUAUCAUAAGUAAAGAAAUAGCUAAACUCUUUCUUAACAACAUCUAUCACUAUCAUAGAUUAUCCAAGGAUAUCAUAUCAAAUAGAGGAACUCAAUUUGUAUCAAGAUUUUGGCAGACUCUUUUCAAGAUUCUAAAAGUAGAUAUAAAACUAUCUUUGGCAUUCCAUCUUCAAACUAAUGGACAAACAAAGCGUGUUAAUCAAGUUUUGGAGUAGUAUUUAAGAUGUACCAUCAACUACUAACAAGAUGAUUGGACAACUCUUUUGCCAUUGGUAAAGUUUAUCAAUAAUAAUACAAUACAUUCUUCUACAAAACAAACACCUUGCUUUGCCAAUUAUGGUUAUCAUCCAUGACUUAAUACUUUUGACUUUUCAAAAGCUGAUAAUCUUGCUGCGAAAGAUUUGACAAAUCGUUUGUGAGAUCUAUAUGUAAUAAUGAAGGUAUAGUUAAAAAAAGCUAAAGACCAACAAAAGAUCAAUACAGAUGUCUAUCAAAAGGAACAACCACCAUUCCACGUGUGUGAUAAGGUAUGAUUAUUUCAUCAAAAUAUCAAGACAACUCGUCUUUGUGACAAGUUGGACUAUCAUAGAUUUGGACCAUUUCCUAUUUCUGCACAAAUCAAUGUUGUUGCAUAUUAUUUAUACCUACCAAAAUCAAUGAAAAUCUAUCUAAUAUUCCAUGUGUCUCUUCUUGAACCAUACAAGAUAGUAGACUUACCAAGAAGAAGACAAGUACCACCUCUUGCUAUAGAAGUGGAUAAUAAUGAAGAAUUUGAAGUAGAAGAAGUCUUAGAUUUAAGGUGACCCUAAGAUAAGUUGAAAUAUCUUAUUCAUUGGCACGGAUACAUUAUUAGUGAAUGCACAUGGGAGCUAGCAAAGAAUCUUGUAAAUGCAAUAAAGAAAGUAGAGGCUUUUCAUCAACAACAUCCAUCAAAAUUAAGAUGAAGACCUUUCUUAUAAAAUAAAUAACAUCUAGGCAAGAUAACAUUACACUUUCAAUCCUUGUUUGUAAUUUUUUUGUAUUUGUCAUGCUGAGGAGAUGGAGAACUAACAACCACUGGAUUUGAUUGAAGAGCCUUCAUUUAUUGAUCUGUUAGAUAAGACAUUGUCAUUGUCACAACCUUCAAGAUGAUCCAAUCAAGAUAAAGAUCCUCAAAAACAAUAUAUUUUUCCUCGAAUAGAUGGUGAGAUAUAACUUGUUUAGUAUCACAACCUUUGAAGAGACUUCUGAUGUUUGCUAAUUUUAUUAGAGGUAGAAACAACUCUUGAUGAUGUUUUAAAUGUUUUAUUUAAAAGAAGUUAUAAAGGCCUCAACAAUGACAAAAUAAGAGGGUGGUCUUUUUGUCUUGGUAUGGGACACUAUCGAUGGUUGAAAGGUCCUAUGAAGCAUCUUCAAAGAGAACAAAGAUCUAAGUAUGUGAUAAAUAUAAUUUGCCACAUCAUAGAUUUUUUCAACAUAUGAUAACCACUCCACAUAGAAUUCAUUUCUAAAAGAAGGGGUAAUGUCACAGACAUAUACAUGUAAGCUGAUAACUAUCUAUAUAAAUAGGUAGAAAUAGAUAGAAAUAAGUAAAAGUAAGUUAAUUCUAUAAUAUCUUCUAAAGAAGCUUCCUAAAAGCUUCAUAGACACUGAUUUAAUUUUAUAUGUAUCUAUUAAUGACUUUUAAAUUAAAAAGUUAGUCAACAAAUUAACCAUGUGCCACACAUGUUGAUAGCUUGAAGAAUAAGCUAACUAUAUAGUAUACAUAUAAAAAAAACUUGCCUUAUAAAUCAAGGCAUGUGUCCUACAAAAUCAACACAUAUUGGAAGUCCUAUAGAAUAUUGCCAUGUAGCUCCUAAUUCGAUAGUGUAUAUAGAGACAAGAGUGAAGCCUUCUUCACUCUUGUCAACUCUUUUCUUGCUUCUAGUUCAAUUUGAAGAGUCUCAAGUUUUCUUGUCUUUUGGCAAUAAGCCAUUCUAAUUUCUUUUUAAUAUGUAUACUUCUUUAUUUCUAUUUUGUCACUUUUUCUUUGAUACGGAUUUCAUUGGUUUAUGUAUUAUCUUCCAAUUCAUGUCCUUGACAAUAUGCAAUACUUUGAUCUUGCACUUACAUUAUUUUUUUGUAAGUGUCUUAAACUCUUUAAACCUUAAAAAUAUAUCUAUUUUUAGCUUUAAAGAUAUAAAUCCACAUCUUUCUAGAAAAAUCAUCAAUAAAUAUCAUAAAAUAUCUUACUCCUCUAAUUGAUGGCAUUUUCAUUGAUCAACAAAUAUUAGAAUGCAUAAUUUCUAACAAUUUGGUAGCACAUAUUGCAACUAUUCUUGAAAAUGAAGCCUUUUGUUGUUUGCCUUGAAUACAACCUUAACAAGUAAGUAUUAUGGAAUUGUGGCUAAAUUGAUCAAGAUUUAAGCCACUUACCAUAGAUUGAAUUUCUUUCAUGUUUUUGGCAUUCAAAUGAUCAAGUUGUUGAUGCCAAAUUCUAAUUUUUUCUUGAUUUUGUGGAACUUGAGUAGAUAUUAUAACUUUAACUCCAUUCACCUUCUUACAAUUGAUGAAGUAGAGGUUGCCAUCUCCUAGGCCUUUGGCAACAUGUUGUCUACUCAAUAUCUUCACAAAACAUCCAUUUAUAUCAAAUUAAACCUCACCACCAUGUGAUACAAGUUUGCUCACCGAAAUGAGGUUCUUCAACAUCUUUGGCAUAUGUAAGACUUUCUUGAAUCUAAUUCUCUUCAUUUGGUCCUUCACAAUGAUCUCUACUACAAUAGAGCCAAUUUUAAUAGCUUACACGAUACCAUUGUCUCCUAACCAAACAUUUGUUACUGAAAUUUUUUCAUAAGUGCCAAAUAGAUACUUAUAUGGUGUCAUGUACUUAGUAGUAUACGAAUCUAUAAUCCACUUGGACAUGAUAGCCAUGGAGGCUCUUUUACUUGCCAUGAAAGCAUAAUCAUCUCUACCAAAACUAUCACUUGUAUUGUUUGUAUUCUUCUUAUUUCUUUUCUUGGCUUUGUAGUAAUUUCUAAUAAAGUGACAUGGUUUUUCACAAAUAUAGUAAUUUUUCAUGUUUUUUUUUGAAUUAUCAUAUUAAUAAAAAUAGCUACUUUUGCCUUGUCUUGAAAAUAGAGUCCAAUCAUCACUUUGAAGCUUUUUUCUUUCUUCUUAAUCACUUUAUGGACAAAUCUUGAUGUGACAUAAUGCAUAAUAAGUUCCUUUAUGUUAAUAGACUCCAAUGAGGUAGUUGUAGGACUAGGAAAAGUUCAUGAGUAAUAUCAACACAAUGUCUUUAUCAUCAAUUAUCUUGUCAACAAUUACUAGUUGGUUUACAAGUACUUUUAUCUUGUUGACAUGAGCCAUGAAAUCAUCUUCUUCUUCCAUCUUUAUUGUUAAGAACUUCCUUUUUGUCUAUAGAAUGUUGGUAAGAUUUCUACUCUUACAAAUGUUGUAAAGAGUCUUUCAUGCUUUUGCUACUCCAUUCUAAGCAAUUACAUGUGAAAAGUUGGCAUCAUACAAAUUUGAUACAAUCAUGACAAAAGCCUUUCUUUCACAACAUUUGUAUUCUUUCUUCACCUUAACAUUAGCAUCAUCACUUGGAGGCUCUUCACUUUCAUCAACAAUGUCUCGAAGGUCUAAUGAAGCCAACAAAAGCUCCAUUUUCUUCUUCUAGUGGUAGAAAUUGUCAAUUUUAACUUCUCAAACCCUCACCCUUAUUUGAAGCCAUGUCUAAUAAAAAAGAUUAUCAAAUAAAAUCAAUAGAAAGAGAAGAUAGACUCACCAAAUAAAUAAGAAGGUCUUACUGCCUUAGAAACCUAAAAUGCCUCUUUUAUAAAUAAACAAGUGAUUUCACUCUUUAAUCACUCUCAACUCUCAUAAGAACACUUCUAAUCUCACAAAUAUCUUCUUAUCACUAUAAGAAAACCUCUUAAAAAAUUCAGAGCACAAAAGCACAAUACUAGUGCACCAAUGAUGUAACUCAGCAAAGAAACACAAUAAGUCGACGUCGUCUAAAGCUAGAAUUGCAUGCAUGUCCUAGAUCCAGACCUUCAUAUCAAGUAAACCUUCAAUCCGUUUCGAUCCAUACUGAGGCAGUGAGUUCAAUGCUGAAUUGAUUACUUAAUUUAAUUUGCUUUGUUGUUGAUGUACAGGUUGUGAGGACUCUCGGCGUACUUAACCAAAUUGCGUCCCGGACUUACACCCUGCUUCACGUGUGGCAGUACAAAGCCCUCCAACUCGAGUACAAGAUCGGUGACUCGCAUCUAGAGGCUGCUGCUGAGGAUGCAGGCCAUUAUGUGCUGUCGGAGUGAGCCUACUCAUCGCCUCUCCUUAUUGAAUUCAGAAUGGGCCAUGGAGCACUCGGAGAUUGGUCGUUUGUGUUUUAGUCGAUCUCGGACAACGCCUCGUUGCGAUCUGAGGUCGUAGUUUUGUCUGGAUUGGUGUUUGGUUUUGUGCAGAAUUUUCCCGACGCAACAGUCCACAAGCUUCGAUGGCCUCAUCGAUAAGCAGAUCACUCCACUGGAAUUGACAGAAGAAGAGGAUGCGGCUAUUCGCAAGAUUGGCCUCCAAUUUGCCAAAUCUCUCCUGAAAAAAAGGUAGUGAUCCCUUUCUCCUGAGGCUUACAUUGAUUUCAUUAUCCUGAAGGUUGAGAGCUUCAACGCGUUCCAAUGGAAUCACUCGUGUGCUAAAAUUUCCACCGCCGCAUUUGAGAAUGAUUGUUCAGGACACAUGACGGUAGUCAGCAGUGGAUUAAGUUCGUUCCGUCACCUGCCGGAGGUCCCACUGGAUAGUACCAAUUCACCCCAAAUCAAACGUUCGUCCUGCACCCUCAACAGGGCAAGCCUCGUCCCUUCGUCAUCAAAUCCGUUGCUAAGUUCGACACAAAUGGUGGCCCAUAUGCAAUCCCCAGCUCCAAGUACAAUACUGACUACGAGGAGAUCGCAAUCGUUGGCAACUCGAACUCGUCGUCAUUCACAGAUUUUUUCAAGGAGACGGCAAAGUUUUGGGAGGCCGGCGCAAGUAAGAGUUACAACUCCCUCUUCCACUUCAAUUUUCGCUGUCUGACGGAGACCAAUCUUAAUUGCGAUGAUUUCUUUUAAAUACUUCCAAAGUUGGGUGUGCUUCUGCUCACUAUUUCCGCCAUAAUUUGCACAGAUACAUCGACCGUAAACGUUCGUCCUGUUCUGUUGACGACAUCUUUGCAUCCUCUGAGCUUGCAGUCAAGGAGACUCCAGCCACCAGCCGAUUGUUUUCACUCCUUUCCUUCGAACCCCCCCACACCCAGAGUAUCCGAGUACACACUCGACUGCUGCAGGAUCCUGGGCGAAAGUGCUCGCCAGAUACUUGAGCGUCGGCAUCUCUCAACACAUUUCCUCCUAUUCUGUCGCUACUGAGGGGUAUCCGCUGCCAUUACGCACUUACAAUACGCUUGAAGCAGCUGCGGUGGAAGUUGGAGUGAGUAGGUCUGUUGCAUGCGUUCGAUCAAAACAUAUUUACUUGAACUCUUUUGGUCAACUUGUUUGAAUUGAUUGAAAUCAGCAUCGUGAAUUAAAAGCUUUUGGAGCAUUGAAACUUUAUGCGUGUUCCCGAGUACUUGCAGAAUCUAUGGAGGAGUCCAUUUUCGAAAAGCUGUCGAAGACGGCAUAAAACUGGGAGUCGAUGUAAGCAUUCUCUGAGCUCUUUAUGCCCUCUCAUCUCCUAGUCUUUAUGUCGAUCAUCGUGUGCUCAAUGGCAACUCUUAACCAUCGCUCACUCCACCACUGCAACCGCUCUAAACCCUCUGGAUGCUUUGCAGAUUGGCGACUACGUGUGGGAUCACUUCGAGAAAGAAUUUGGUGAUUUGUAAUCGCCAAGCUCUAUGAAUGACAUUGCCUAGUGGCGGACCCCCUAAAAGAGUAUCUUCGCUGUGCUCUUCGCUGUGCUACUAUCUUCAAGCCUUGUCAUUGUUGUUUCCAACAAUAUUACCAAUUUGAAUGCUGCAACGUCUCGGUGUCGUUGAUGUUACCCAACUUCUCACUGCAAGUGCCUGAUCGGCACCUCACCACCAGAACAUGAGGUUUGCAGUUUGCAAAGCUGGUGUCACCCGGUCUUCACAAGUGCAGAUGAAUUCGUGUUCUACGUCGACACAAGCAAGCAGUAAAAAGCGUUUCAAUGCCGGUGCUUACAAAAUGUGAUGGCUCCAGUAUGAAUGCUGUAUGAUAAGAUAUGGGAAACAUUUGCACUUGUUAUUCAACUGCGCUUUAUCGGGUAUUUACUUGAGUCUUUUUUCAGUGUCAGUUUCUUCUCCAUGUUUGUUAUUGAAGUUGAAUGUGGGUGUAAACGUAAAUUGAAAAGUGGAUGUAAAUGAGGAUCAUACUUCAUAGACCCAAAGAAUGUGUUUACUUCUAACGUUUGCCCAAGUAACAACUUCGAAGCUUGUGUAAGACUUCAUAUUUUAGAACAGCCUGUUUUGAAACAGUAACAUGUAUAUUGUUAGUGCUCAUGAAUAAAUAUCCUAUCGACCGCUGUUUCUGUAAUUUCUUUAUCUCCCUUGGUGCCAGAUUUUUAACAUAAAUUACUGUGGGAUCAGUGUUAGUGUCUAAUCCGGACAGGAGACCAAUAUCUAAUUUACUUUAAAACCUCAAGAGCACCAUAAAUUAUAUGACCUUGCGUAUGAUCUCAAAAACAUAAUAACAGGAAUAAUAAUUAAUCAGUCAUAUUUGAAUGAACCAACUUCAACCAUCAUAAGCAACAGCAAACACUUCACAUUCUUUAAAAAAAAAAAAAAAAAAAAAAAAAAAUCAUUAGUAAUCACAAGCUACCACCACAAAGCGGAUGAUAAAUGGCCAAUGGAUGGCAUUUCCAAAUCUCACGCGACCUAAUUUCAUCCAACGAUGAACGCCCCAUCGAGACCGUCCAGUUCGUUGUCCAUCGGACGGCCUCCGAAGUGCCAAUUUUUCCACUAUGAAGUUUGCGGCAAGCUCUAAGCAGGGCGCUAUUGCAGUGGCGUGAGUUCUCGCCCCCUCGCAGGCCAUGGCUGCUGCUGCUUCCACGCGACGGCUGCGAAGCCUUCGCCAUUCCCUGUUGGGCUUUGCCGCCCGGACUCUACCACCUCUCACUUCUCGGUUUCCUUCUUCGGGACCUGCUUUUUGUGCCGAGGUGGCUCACAUUGAUCAGUUGGGCUCCGCGCAGGAGGAACUCUGUUCGAAGGAUUUUGAAGUUGUUGGGUCGGUUUCCCUUGCUUUGUUGGGCCGAUCGGGUUUUUCGCUUCCGAGAGGGGCGGAUUGGCCCUGGGGUUGGAGACGUGAUACUUCAGUCGCAGAGAACGGUGUAUUUUCUCACGUUUUAGGAGUUGGUGUUCGAGGUCUCGCUGCUAAGGCCAAGAAAUCGGGUGGAAAAUCUCGUACGUGGACGUGAUCUCUCUCUCAUUUUGGUUCUUGUGUUUAUGUGGUUGUUGGGCUUGAUCCUCUUGGAGGGAAGGAUGUAAUUUCUCAAGCUCUUUUUCGACAACGUUUUUUCGAGUCGUUUCUGUUCUGAUUAAUUGUUGGCGUUAAAUGUGCUGAAUGUUCAUUCAUUGAACGAAUGGUGGGAAAAUGUAGACUCCACGAGUGAUCCCCUUAGGCGUAUUGGCUUUAGUACAUGCCAACCAGUCUGUCUAGAUCCCCACCCAGAAUUUGAUGGUCCUCAGCACUUAACACUAGUUUGGGUUUAGGGUUUAGGGUUUAGGGUUUAAGAUAUGUGUCAAUGUCUUUGCGCGUCCGGGAAAUAAUGAGAUUAAGAAAUAACAACGCUACGAAUGGUCUCCUUUUGUAAAUUAGAUCACAAGUCCUGGUGGCCAUUCUGAGGACAUUACUACCCUUUGUCUGAUGUCUUUUUACAAUACCCACAUGAGAACUAUGUAGGCUUCAAGAUUAUGUUGGUUUCUGAACUCACGAACGCUGACGAAGUGGAGACGAUGACGUUACCAUAAGGUCUCGUUCAGCAUAUUCGCCUUAUGGCCUUGCCGACUACUCUGAAAAGAUCACCUCCCAUAAUUUGAUGUCCCUUUACCGUGGAAUAACUCACUAUAAUUCGGUCACUUCUUCAAUCGCAUUGUAGAGAACAAAAUGUGAUUUAACCUACAUUAUGGAAAAGGAUAGUUUGUCGAUCGGUUCUUUUGUGAUUUCACACCUGAAUACUUUGGUAUGGACUCAGUGCGCGGGACAAUGACGAAAUUAUGAAAGGUCUCGUUCGGCAUAUUGGCUAACAAGCCAUGCUGACCAUUCUGAAAAGAUCACCACCCAUAACCUGAUGUCCCAUAUGCACGGAUAGUCUAUCUGAAGUAGCCAUGACAUGAGCCAUGAGAAAGUACGCAUGCUAGGGUAUUACCAUAGAAACUCUUAAAUACGUUCUAGUGAACGUGUGCAUACAUUCUCAUGCGUGCGCUAAGUGAUUACAUGGGUUCGCCUUUUGCAUUUAUUAAUACUUUUCUCGUAAUCUAAAGAUUUUUGUGCUUGUCCAUGCUGGUCUAGGUGGUGAUGAUGGCGGAGGUCAAGUUGUUGCAACUCCAGGACCAUCAGCCAAAGAAACAGCUUCGAGGCUGAUGGAGGCUGCCUUGAAUGCUCUGUCAGUGGAGCUCUCGAAACUUCGCACUGGCAGAGCUACUCCAGGUUAGUGUCGAUGCUUUUCGAAGUAAUGCAUGGUGCGAUGACAGUGCAGUACCUCCCAGUACAUUUUCGUGCGAGAGUCAUUGCAUUGUCGCUUCAUAGAGGAGCAUCAACCGUAUUCACUGACAAGUGAAGUGCCUUUUUUCUCUAAUUGUGAAGUAAUUAUCUAACUCAUUUAGGUCGAUUGCAGGAAUGCUAGAUCAUGUGAACGUGAUGUCUCAUGGUGUACAAACACCUCUAUCUCAUGUGGCCGCAGUUUCGGUUUCCAAUCUUGAAACAUUGACAGUAAUGCCAUAUGAUACUUCUGUGAGUUCCGGUAUUUCCGAAAUUCGCUGCUUCUAUUGGUUGUGUUGUCAAAUAUUGCUGGACCUAAGUGACGUUGAAUUCUUUGCUGGACCUGAGUAUGCAGCCUUGUGUUGCCUGUCUGAUCUUGUAUUUGUCAUGUGUGGCUGAACAGAUGGUCAAAGAAGUUGAGAAAGCUAUUCGAAAUUCUCCACUCAAACUAAACCCCAUGGCGGAAGGGGAAGUCCUGAGGGUUCCUAUCCCUAAGUAAGGAGAAUGACUUUGAAUGUUCCUUUGUUUGCGUUUAAAUUAACAUGUACAUGUACGUAAAGAGUGUUAUAAUGUUGAUUAGAUUACGUAAACUUGCUUGGAUGAUUGUAUCAUGAAGUUUUCAGUACCGAGAUUCUCUGUCUACUUUUAGAUAAAAACGUAAUUUUACGAAUGUCGCCAAUGUUGUCGGCUUACGUGCUUGAGAUUUCGUAGCGUUCCGUCCAGACUGUCCAAUCAUGUGAAAUGAAUUAGCUGAGUGUCGAUUCGUUUUCCUGUAUUUGUGGAGUAGGUUUAUAGCGCUGUAAGAUCAAGCUAGGUCAGUAUUCGAAGUUUACGAGUCAUACUUCAUGUGAUAGCAGGGGCGUGAUCCUGACUCAGUUGUGAUGGGUGUCGAUGCGGUGGGUUGACUUUGAAACUGGUAAUCCUUCAGGCUAACAAAGGAGCAUAUACAGGUAGGAUUCUCAGCCCCGUAGUAUAUGUUUAGUAGCAGCAUACGUUUGGGUAUUGAAAAUGACACACCAUAGAUGUUUGACCACCGAUUUCAGUCAUUUAUUCUUGAUUAUGAUUAUGGUUCUUGCAGACCAUGAGUAAACUUGUAGGGAAAGCUGGUGAAACCGCGAAGCUUAGUGUGCGUAGAGCACGCAAAGACGUAAGUUUACUUCUUCUUUUUUUCACUUGGUUAAAACUAUGUGUUUAAAGUUGCUUUUGGUGUCGUACAUGAGACUGUCGAGUUGCGGAGGAUUGAAAUGUUGAAAUGUUCUGUUAUUUCAGGCUAUGGAUAUCAUCUCAAAAGGUGGAUACUCCAAGGAUGAAGUGAAAAGAUUCGAGAAAGAGGUGAGUAUUGAUACCAUUUAUCGUCUCGUGUCAAUUUUUCACCCGUUUUAUGAUAUCAUUAUGAUAAAAACAUUUUUUGUGGAUGAUGGUAAUACCGAAUGACGUGAGGAUCUCUAGACACCUCUGGUAUCAGAGUUAGAACGAUGACGGGACAACGAAAACCGUCCUUCGGCAGAUUGGAUAAAUAGCCACGCUGGUCAUUCUAACCUGAUUACCACCGGUGAUCUCAUGCCCGGAUGAUAGUCAACGCUUUACGGUUUUGUUAAAAGUUGACCUAAUUACCGUUCAGCUUUUGUCAGUGGCUGUAUCUCAUCCUUGCCCAUGACUUCGGGUGUUAUUGCAGGUAGAAGAUGUGACGAAGAAGUACGUGAAGUCAGUCGAGGAAGCCUGCAAGUCCAAAGAGAAGGAAAUCCUGGGUAACAGCUAGGUCUGGCUUAUCUUUUCAUUAAGAAAUCAGGGGAUGGGUCUGAUGUGUGGAAAUCAGGACCAAAUGUCUCCGACUUCGACAAUAGCGAUCCAUGGCCUAGCUAGAGAUGAGUUACGAAGCAGAUGCAUAGGGCAUUCUUAAUGUCCUAGCUUUUCCUCAUUCGGAACUACAGUGGUCAGAUCAGGAUGCUUAACACUUGCCUUGUUACGUGAAAUCAUCUCAUUUCUGAGCUAAGGUUAUCAUAUUUUAAGCCAACGAUUCAUUAGCCAGACUUUCGUUAGGAUUUGCAGCUGUUGGGUACACAAAGCGAAUAGGCUGCAAGUGUUAGAAGCAUGUUGUCGUUUCUAAUCGUGAAGUGUUUUACUUUAAUUUACCGAUCAGAUUUGUUGUCCAUGAACUGCGACUUCAGCAUGGAAACAAAUAAGAAACUGACGUUGUGGAACUGUUGCUUUGAGUUGAAAGGAUACAAUCAUUUCCCCAUUGGCUGUGAGGUUCCGCCUCAUCGAAUAAAGUUGCAACAUACAUGUGUACCCCAAUGAAAGACUCAGCAUUCUUUGAAGCUGUGCUUCUUCUCAAUGUUCUCUUACAAUGCUCCAAGUGUUAGUGCCUCAUGGGCUCUCACCAUGUCAAACCACGUCAUCAAGUCGUGAAGAUUCUGUGUGGUAAACGCUUGGGAAAGGCUGCUUUGGUUCCUUGAUUCUCGUGCCAACGGCCAAAGCCCAUUCAUGUUUUUUGUAAUGUUCCACUGAACUUGUUCCUAGGAUUCCAAGGUCACCAUCUGCAUCAUUCUACAACUUCAAUCAGAUGCUGUAAACUAUUUUAGGAAAUGGUCUCGUUCACCUUGCUUGGUUUCCACAAUAUUAUACAUGCUCGCAUACAAACAAAGGUGAUUGUUCUGACUUGAUAAUGAUGAAAUACUCUGUUUUGCCUAAAUGAUGCUGUUGUUCACAGUAUUUCACUUUUCUGAAGUAUUCUUGAACUUAUGAUUAUUCUAACUCAAUUCCGAAAAAGGUUUCAACUAAUUGACAAUAUGAAUUUAUCUCACUCACCCACACACACAUAGACACUGGCUUUGUUAAUAUUUCAAUGAUUUGAAAUUUCUGGUUUCAAAAUGCAACUAGCUAUUUACUCCAUGGCUUGGUCUAUAUUAGUGUGAUUGUAUUUUUAUAAUUUUAGUGAGACUCUUAAAUUUCAUUGUACUUGAAAUUGAUGCAAUAAUAGUAUAUAUUCAUUGAAUAAUGCAUUUAGUUUUCUGAACUGAAUUCUAGUGUACUUUCAUUUUUUCUUUACAGGUUGCUUUUGACAACGUUCUCUUUGAUAUGAAUUUGAUUAGAGCGAAGGAGAAAUCUUAGUUUACAUUACAUGUAUAUCAAUAUAUUAGAUAAUUAAGUGAUUAAAAAAAAGUCAUUUUUUUUGUCUUCUUGAAACCUUGUUGCUUCCCCUAAUAGUGACUGCUUGCACAAUUCUCUUACAAAUAUCAAACUGAAUAAAUAUAUAUAUUAAGGAAUAACCAAUGUUAGUUAAUUUUUAUAGCUAAUAUAUAUAUUAAUAUAAAUGUAUAUUUUCAUUUUAAGGUAUGUGUUGUAAAAUACGAAAAUCUUUUACCAAAAAAAAAACAAAAUUAAAUAAAUAGAAAGAAGAGGCCUAAUUGAUGUAUUUGUGAUAUUUGCAAUAUUUAAUAAAACCUUAUCAAAUCUGCUAAAAUUUUAAAUUGCCCAGAUGAAGACAACAUGUUUAAAGUAAAGAAAACGUAAUUCAUAAAUGGAAUCCUUCUUUUUAAGUUCUUUUUUGCUUUGAAGUUAAAAGUUUCAGUAGCUUUUAAUAUUCAAGCCAUUUUUCAAUGUAAAACUUUAUGUUAUCCAUGUUUGUUGUUGGAAGUCUUUUAAUUUAUAAUUAAUGUAGUUAUUGUAUUUUGUGGAGGCCACUAUACUUAGUUAGUAUUUUUUUUUUUUUUUUUUUUUUUUUUUUGUAGAAUAACCAAAUUUGUGCAGCGAAGUAUUUAAUUGCAUCCUCUGCUCAUACAAUAGGCAAUUAAUUUUCAGGCAAAUCCUUGAAAACUUGGAUUAUAAAAAGCAACACUUUUGAAAAAUAAUAAUUACAACAUUGACUUUUGAGAGUUGUUUAACUUAUUGAACUACCACUUUUGUUAUUAUUUACUCAGAUUUUUCUUUUAAUAAUAUUAUUAUAAUUAUUAUUCCUUUUCUAAGAAAAUAAUAUGAAGAAGUUGAUAUAUAUAUAUAUAUAUAUAAUUAUUCAUAACAAUUCAAAAAUUCAAGCCAAAACAUAAUGUACUUAAAUUGUUCAUAGAAUGAAGAGAAAUUCAUUCUUUUGUUUUAUUUUUAAUAUUUAUGUAGUAAUAUAUAUUGAAUAAUAUUACAAACAAAAAAAUCUUUUGUUUGAUUUCAACAUGAAAAGCAAAAAAAAAUAAAAACGUACAGAUCAAAUAUCUACACACUUGAGAAUAUGCAAUUAUAAUGUAGCUUCUCCAUGUUUUCUCAUUCAAAAAAAUAGAAAAAAAAUCCUUGAUAUCCAUUAACUUUUUACAAAAAUAAUUUUAAUUAAUAAAACAUUAAUCAUCUUUUGUCUCAUUAAACUUGAUUUGCUUUAUUUCAAAAAAAAUUGAACUAAGAAUUCAUACUAAAAAUGUGAAAUCUUACCACUUUAAAACUAUCAAUCACACAUCAGUGUCCAAAAGAAAUUACACAUGUAGUAAAUUAAAAAUAAAGUAAAACUUAUACAAUCAAGAUCAAUGUAUGGGUGUUAGCAUUGCAAACAUUAUCAUACACACAAUAUCCUACACACACAUGUGCAACAUGAGGAAUGAAACCUCCACACAUCCAAACAGCCCACAACUUUCUUCACAAAUGAAAAUUGAAUUCAAACUAAAAAGUAGUCACACUAAAUUCCAAUUUACUGUAUCCAAUACAAAGACAUGCACACACACAUGGCAUUCAGUAGACUCCAAUGCUGUACUUCAUCAAUAAAUGCAACUGAGAUGCAUCAUUUUAAAACAUAGUGAAAAAAAAAGAAAAAAAAAGAGAGAAAAAAAACUAAUCCACGAUAUUAAGAAUGCAUGGAUAAUGUGGAAUUGGGAGUGGGAACGAGAGCCUGUCACCACCGAAAGUGAGCAAAAGCAAAGAGAGGAAUUGAUUGAAGAGAACAGACGGUCAUAGGGGGGGAGUGGGGAUAGGGGGCAGCAGCAGAAGGGGUCAAGUAGCAAGUUAAGAGCACGGGGCCACGAGGGCUGCCUUGUCAGCAGAACUUUGUCCACGUGGACAUGGAGUAGGUGGAAGGUCACAUGGUCGGCCUGUCCGGUCAGCCUUUCCAGGUGUACACCUGUCCCACGCGCGUCCACGUGGGAUUAUUUUGGCCGUCCCAUGAAAAUAAAUAUUGACCCACUCCAAUGCAUUGGACCGUUCCCAAUAACCGGAACUUUAACUUUCUAUUUAUAAUUUUGUGUUUCUCUUUAAAGUAUAAAUUUAAGAUUUUGAAGUAACAUGAAAGAGGGAUUCCUUCAAUACUUUUGGUCGCAAGAUUAUUUAACUCAAAUUUUUAGCACAAUUUUCGAGUGGGUUUUGAAUUACCACCUCUUGAUCAUGGUAUAUGAUGAAAAUGAAUAACUAAAUAAAAUGAUGUAUUAAUUAGCAUUGGAUUGUGUUUAUAAGGAAGACAUAUUACACGGUUGUUGUCAACCGAAUUUUUAUGUUACAUGAAUUUUCGACUUGAAUGGUUUUUGCACUUUAAAUAUCAUGUUCUUGUAAUUAAAGAUUUUUUAAUUUUAGUUAAAUUUAAAUUUAAAUUUCUUUUUUUUACUUCUAACUCAAUAUUACAUUCUUGGUCUAUGCAUGGUAUUGCUAAUGCCAUCACAAUUAUUGCUCCUCUCACUACAACCCUAUGAAAAUUAUGGUCAAAAUUUAAUUAAAAUUGUAUUUUUGUCACUUCCACCACAACCAUUUUCAUCAUUGUUUGAUAUGUAUAUUGGGAAUAUUAACAAAAAAAUUGAUUGAAAAAAAAAACUAAAUAAAUAUGUCAAUUGGGUGGCAGUAGCAAAAACUGUGAUAGCAUUAGCAAUAUCCUAAAUGCAGCAUGUGUUAUGGGAUAACUUUUGUAAUUUGUAUUAGAAUGUGUUAAUGUGAAAUUUACUCAAUUUGUUGUUUAUGUAUUACAUAACUCAAUAUCACAUUCUACCAUAAAUUGAUACUUACAAAAAUUGAAUCAAUUGGUUGUUUACUCAAUCAUGUUGAAAAAUUUAAUAACAUCUCUUGGAGAUUUAAUUUAGCCUCUGAUUAUUGUUAUUCCAUCCUGAAACAUUUCCCUCUUUACAAGUUAGUCACAACUCUCUCCCUUGAAAAUCAUCUCCCCUGAGUUCAAUAUAAUAAUAUAGUUGAUAAAAGUAGAAGCAAAAAUGUAGACUUGAACAAUAAAAUAAAGCACUUAUUCAUGUUCUUUGUCUGUCUAUUUAUUCGUUUUCUUAUACAGAAUAUCUAUACAUUUUACAUUUGAAAAAUAAGAAUACUAACAACAUUAAGAACGUGAAAUAGUUUUUAAGUUCAUUUUGGUUUGGUUCAUUCAAAUGUUACUUGAAAUUCAGAUACUUCAAAAUGAAAUAAAAGUGAAAAAUAUACAUACCAAGUUUAUAUAUUUCAUUUUUGAUACAUCCGUUUGUAUUACUCAACAACAAAGAAAAGAUAUAUACAGUUAUCUAAAAUACAUGAUUAUGCAAUUAAAUAUCCAAGAAAAAGGCAUUCUUUUUGAGUGAACAAAGCUCAAAUUUUAAUUAAUGCAGAAAAUUCAAUAAAUCGUUGUUUAAACACAACAGUAUAAACAAAAAAAAUUACAAAAAUGUAAACUUAUUAAAUGUAAACUACCCUAAUGCAAAUAUCUAAUCUUAUUAAAAUUUAUUUGUCCUAACAAUAAACCAAUCAUACAUAUGCCUUCGACAAAGGAAAUUUGUAAGCAAACAAACAGCUUUUCACUCGUGCACAAUGAUAGAGGCUGUAAAUAAAAAAAAAUAAAAAAUAAACAUAUAUGUAUAUAUAUAUAUAAUUCUACAAGUCUGAAGAAUUGUGUGCCAUGAAGGGCUGACGUGGAAGGGACUGCACAGCUGGCAAGGGCGAGGAACGGACUCCAAUGAAAUGAGCUUCAACCAAGUGUCAGCAAUUUAGAGCACACUACUCCCUAAAGGAUGAUUCCAUCCCAUUCAUCCAUCCAUUCAUUUGUGGCAUUAUCAUCCGUCCAAUUUUAGAGCCAGGAAUGUCCUGCUUUUGUUUUGUUUUGUGUUUUAGUGGCUGCAUUCACACAGCAACCCACUCCGGCAUCCACUUUCCCCCUGUGCCCGUGCGCUUCACACCCCCUGAUUCUUCGUCUUUUACUUUCCCUUUUUCUGCUGAUUUCUCCUUUUCCUUUUCAAUUUUUCUAGUUGCUUUUUAUAUUUUUUAUGGGCAGGUGGGGAGGGGGCGCAAGGUUACAAAAUGAUACACUGGACUUGCUUGCACUGUAGGGGGGGCGGCAAAAGGCAUCCUAGGGGCCGGCUGGGUGGCUGCAGCACCACUAUAGCUUUUUACUGUGCAGUCUGUCUGUCUGUCUGUCUGUGCGUGUGUCUUCAGAAGAGUUAAGUUAUUCAACCCCAGUUUUUAUUUGCAAGUUUGUGUGUGAAGCCAUCUCCAAAAGUCAUGUAUACUAUUGCCACAAUAGUGUGGCCACACAAAGUGCGAGGAAACCUGAAGUAACUUACAAUGGUGGCAAGGUUGAAUCUCCUGGUGCGUCAUGCUCACAGCCAGCCACACAGGACAUUUGGUGGCAUUAAUUCAAUCUCUUUGUGUAUGACACUGUUAUGGCUAUUGGGUAGUACCGUGGUUGAUUUGUUUUUAUCUCGUGUUAAUGCAGCUUUUGAGUCACUUUGGAUUAUGCUUAAACCAGAGCCACACACAAACUCUUUUUCGUAAUAAAGCUUUCUACACUCCUCGAGGCAGUUACAACAACCAUGCAUUUCCGUUGUUGGUUUUAGUUACCCAGUUCUUCAAGUUUUAACUUCGUAAUGACAUUACUUAUCAACUGUAUAUUGUAUAUGAGCAAGGAUGGAUUUCCUGCAAAGAAAUAUAUAAAUGAAUAUAAAUAUAUAUAUAAAUAUGUAUAUAAAUAUAUAUAAAUAUAAAUAAAUAUAUAUAUAUGUUGAAAAAAUAACGGAAAACUUUCUGAAGCGCGGUGAUAGUUAGUAAGUUAGUUAGUUAGUUAGUUUGGUUUUGUUUUGUUUUACUCCUGGUUGCAGGAGCCUGGGAAAAUUGUUGGCGACUGCAGCGAGAGAGCUCUUGAAGGUCUGGCACUUAACCUACGAGUGACGCUGGGCACAUGGGGGAGGGGGGGACAGUUUUAAUUAAUUAAUUAAUAAUUAGUUUUCCUUUUAUAACAAGGGAUGAAAUAUACGCUGUCGGACCUCACUGGGAAGUUGUCACGCGGCCACCUGUGGAUGGGAACGAAGCCUUUUUUAUUUAUAUUUUUUUAGUUGUAGCAUUUAACUGUAGCAUCUUCUGUGGGAGCAUCAUCCUCCGGGUUUGUAUAAGAGCUCCUUCACUGCACCCCAAUACGCAUUCCAUUGCACCAUUCCUGUUGUCGCAGUGUCUGUGCAGCUCUUCCGGUGUUGCUAGCUAGCUAGCUCUACUCACACUCUGGGUUAUUGUUGUGUUUUUUUUAGUGUGUGUGUAACCAUCCACUAGUAACCAUGGUGAAAUUGGCAUUCGGCGAGUCUGAUGAAGCCUCCAGCCCCGAUGCGUUGAAGGGGGCGUUGGCGGAGUUCAUCUCCUUGUUCCUGUUUGUGUUCAUCGGAGUGGGAUCGGUGAUGUCCUAUGAGAAGAUUCACGUCGGUGACUUGGAAGCUGGUGGUCUGCUCAUGAUCGCCAUCGCUCACGGUCUUGCUAUUGCGAUCCUGGUGGCUGCCACUGCGAACAUCAGCGGAGGGCAUGUCAACCCCGCUGUUUCUCUCGGUCUUGCUCUUGCCGGAAAGAUCACCGUCAUUCGCCUCGUCCUUUACUGGGUUGCCCAGCUCUUGGGCGCUGUCGCUGGUAUGAAUGCACGUCCCUGUUUUUGUCUAUUAUUCUACCCGGUUUUGUUUUUCGGCGCCCAGUUGUCCUUCACUCUUAUUACGAGCUCCCUGUGUACAAGCAUUGACCUCAGCAUUCUUAACAAUGCCACAUCAGAGGAAGUGACCUCCCUGAUAUAUUGAUCUAAUCAAUUGUGCCUAUCCGAAGCUUUUACUACAUGUUGCUGCAAUUUAUCAUCGACUAUCAGUCAUGAAAGAACCACAUGAUCGAUCACUUCUCUGGUCGCUCUGUUUCCUAGGAUGUUUCACAAGCCGACCGCGAAGCUUGUGCUUGAUACAGAAGUCCAUAGGUUGUUAUGUGCAUUGUGUACAACCGAAAUUGUUGGGGGCUCACUCAGCGGCUAACAAGUGUGAGAUGUGGUUUUGCAAUGCGCAGGCGCAUGGGUUCUGAAAAUGGUCACCACGGGAGAAGACGUCGCCCGCCACGCUAUCGGAGUGGGCAUGUCUCCCAUGUCUGCGGUGCUGAUGGAGAUCGUGCUCACCUUCACGCUUGUGUUCGUGGUGUUCGCCACCGCAGUGGACCCCAAGAAGGGUACCGUGGGAGUGAUCGCUCCCUUGGCCAUCGGCUUCACCGUUCUGGCUCAGAUCUUCGUUGGAGCUCCCUUCUCCGGCGCUUCAAUGAACCCUGGACGCUCCUUCGGCCCCGCUGUGAUCGCCAUGGACUUCACCAACCACUGGGUGUACUGGGUUGGUCCCUUCAUUGGUGCUGCCCUAGCUGCGGUUAUCUACGACGGCGUUUUCAUCUCCCCCUCUCCUCCUGCAGGCCACCAAGCCAUCCCCAGCGACUUUUAGAUCACCACGAUGACAUAUAUUCCAUCGCACGUUGCAAUGGGUCUUCUCCACCUCCAGCCUUCGUGUUUCACUCUUUGUCUGGGAGUGAAAAAUGGGAGAGAGAGAGAGAGAGAGAGAGGCAACGUCGUGAUCUGGUCAGGUUGCGAUUGAUCUGUACGAGUAAAGGUUUUUGGUGACAGUGGCGGUGAUUGCUCUUGCCGCCGAGGUGUAUGUUUCCAUUGUAUAUGUUCAUAAAUCAAGUGUAAUUGCACACACUUUUCUCCACAAUUUCGUCGACUUGCAGUACCUUCCCAUUCGCACCCUUUUUGUACAUUGACUUGCCUGCUUGUCUGCUGAUUCAAUUGCGUUUGUUCUGUGCCUAUUGUUUUUCGCUUCCAUGAUUCAGCUACUUAUGCUCAAUGCCAGGAAUUACACAAAACGCUAGUGACAUGCAUAGCUACUUCAUGAAGUAUACUCUGUUUUUGUGCAUUGUGAUUCUUAGAUAGUGAGCUUGGGUGAUUGGAGAGAAGUACAGCACAAAGCAAUUGCACAAGCAGCAUUUGCAUUGGCUGCAAUGAAUUUCAUUGCAACUGCUCCUGCAAACAGCGACUGAUUACUGAACCGUUCUCCCAUCACUGCUAGGCACGGUGACUUC
rnacentral:lncRNA from 1 species